ACGGGUGAGUAACGCGUGGGAAUCUACCCAUCUCUACGGAAUAACGCAUGGAAACGUGUGCUAAUACCGUAUACGUCCUUCGGGAGAAAGAUUUAUCGGAGAUGGAUGAGCCCGCGUUGGAUUAGCUAGUUGGUGGGGUAAAGGCCUACCAAGGCGACGAUCCAUAGCUGGUCUGAGAGGAUGAUCAGCCACACUGGGACUGAGACACGGCCCAGACUCCUACGGGAGGCAGCAGUGGGGAAUAUUGGACAAUGGGCGCAAGCCUGAUCCAGCCAUGCCGCGUGAGUGAUGAAGGCCCUAGGGUUGUAAAGCUCUUUCACCGGUGAAGAUAAUGACGGUAACCGGAGAAGAAGCCCCGGCUAACUUCGUGCCAGCAGCCGCGGUAAUACGAAGGGGGCUAGCGUUGUUCGGAUUUACUGGGCGUAAAGCGCACGUAGGCGGACUAUUAAGUCAGGGGUGAAAUCCUGGGGCUCAACCCCGGAACUGCCUUUGAUACUGGUAGUCUUGAGUUCGAGAGAGGUGAGUGGAAUUCCGAGUGUAGAGGUGAAAUUCGUAGA
rnacentral:rRNA from 1 species